UUUGAUUUAUUUAUUUUUCCUCUUUUAAACCCUACCUCUAGAAAACUCUGUUUUUCUCGGUUCCGAUUACAACUGAAUACGGUCUGCGGCUCUCUGCGUCUUGAGCGGCAGCAACUCUCCGACAAGCCCUCUACUGGUGACCACUCUCCAGAAAGCCCUCAGAAGCUUCGGAGUCGUUUUCGAAAACAUUAGAAAAACAACUCUACGACGUUUCAAUUUUGUAAUCUUCUAUUGGCCUUCAAUCCAUCAAAACAUGGGAAAAGCAAAGAAAGCCCAAAAAUUUGCUGUCAUGAAGAAGAUGGUCACCUCCAAAGCCCAAAAAAGGUUUUGCCAACUUUAAAAAGGUGGUUUUAAAAUCCUUAAAUCGAAUCGAUUUGUAGAACACUUGAUCUACUAAAUGGAACUCAUCAUGUAGUGGAUCUCAUUCCCUUCUAUGUUACAAAUAUGGCAUAUUUUUUUUUUCCAAGGAACAUCAUGUAAUUCUCUAAAUCAUGGCCUCAACAAAAAAAAUAACAUAUGAACAUCACUAAAAGGAUUGAGAUCCAUCAUAUAAUGAUUCCCACUUAGUAGAUCAAAGUCUGCUAAAAAUCAACUCUUUCAACCAUCCAUUCAUGAAAAUUUUUGUUGAAUCUGAUUUGAAACCCAAUUCAAAAUUCAACUUUUGCUUAAACUUGCACGGAGCCAUCAAAAUAAUAAUAGCAAUACUUUCAAAUCAAACUCAUUUCAAUACACUUGAUCCACAGUGCAUCAAACAAUAGGUCCCAUUCCACUUCAUUUUGGUGGACCAAUAUGUGAGAAAGUCAUUGAAAUGGUAGUGAAUUUAGAAAACACAUUAAGGGAGAGAAAUUAAGUUUUAAGGGAGAGAAAUUAAGUUUUACUUUGAAUUAAUCCUCUAUUUCUAGUUUCGAAACAAGAAAAUACAAUGACACAAAUCGAUUCUUUUUUCAUUCAUUUGCCACGAAGUUCAAUGUGCAAAAUGCUUUGAAGAUAUGAAGAUAUUAGAGCUAUUCAAAGAAGUUGACACAAACUCCUUUACCAAAAGACAACAGGAAAUAAAAACUAAAAGCACAAAAAUAUUCCAUCGCCUCAUUUUCCAGAGACAAAAGACAUAUAUAGCAAAAUUGGUAGUCUAAAAUUUCUUUUUCCUUACUCAGUUUCUCAGCGACCAACCGGACGGAAAUCAACAACAUAAAAACUUAGGAAAACGCAUCAGAUCUUAAACAAUGCAGCAUUUCAAAAUCAACAAAGAGAGAAACUAUACACUUCAAAAGCAUAAAAGAAAAACGAGCCGAACAAAAAAAGUGCAAGACAACAGUGACAACAGAUUUCCUACCUGCCAAACAGGUCCGGUGACGAUUUUCCUGAAAAAUC